UUGGGCUUCAAAUGUCGGGUGAAAGUGCAGAUGAAAUUACUACUUGCCUCAUGUCCCUUACAGUUCUAAGGUGUUUGUUUUUGCAAUGAUAAAGUGACAAGCACCUGUUCAUCCAAGAAAGCCUCACACAGAGUCGGUGUGUCACAAAUGAGUGGAGUAGUCAGUUCCAGAUCGAGAACCUCGCACUGCUGUGGAACACCGCCAUUUUAUGUGAACGCCUCUCACAAAUUCCCAGUUCCUCUCCAAGGCUGGAUAUUUACUGAGGAAAUUCAGGUUGAGCUGAAUUUACUGAAGACUACAUCGGCAGAACCUGCAUCGUACCGCGUCGCAAGGCCAGUUCCUUAACAUCAUACUGCACAGACACUCCAGUCUCAUGUUGACACAAAUUGCCUUCAUUUAUCUCGAUUUGAGGCAAUUCAAAACUUCAGUUAUUGUAUCAGUAUGAAUGAGGCUGAGAUGCGUUAUAUCUGGGUUUGCUUCCAAUCAGUCCUCCUUACAUGAUCAUCCAAUGUGCUCCUUAUGUCUCCUGUGACUAAUUAUAAUCAGCAGGAUUAUUAUUCAUUAUUUAAGCCUUUAUUUACUCAGGUAGUCCCAUUGAUAUAUACACAUAUGUAAAUCUCUUUUACAAGGGGGACCUGGAAAAACAACAACUCCUUAUUUAUACAGGCAUUUAUGCAUUAUUCCUUAUGCACAGAAUAAAAGUACAAUAACAGGCAUCGAUGAUAUACAAUAAAAAAGGAAUGCCCAUACAGAUUCUUUUACACUUGUAGUUUAAGAGAAGUUCGGGACAAUUCUAAGAUCCAACAUCCAGAAAAACUAUAAGGUGGAAAUCCUCGGCACCUGUUAUGGAAAAGUUUUGAAAGGCCCCGAACAUUACAUUGCCAAAUUGAUUAUUUUUCUUGAUUCGUCAAAAUAUUUAACAUGUCGGCUUCAUUCAUUCAUUCGAUCAUUCAUUCAUUCAUUCAGCUAUUUAUUCAUUCACUCAUUCGUUCGGAGUAGACACAGAUGAAAUCCCGCAAUCCUGCAAACUUCUCAGCGCAGUCACACGAAAGAGCGUGAAAGAACGCAUCGAGGUUUGACGCGUCUGAGAAGCUGACGGUUCCUCUGAGCCGAGGAGGUCCGGUCCCGGGGCCCGUCUGCGCCCUGAUCUGGAGAAUAUGUGUGAAUGUCAAUUCAGAAAGCCGAUCGUUCCAUUUCCUUAUUAGCUCGCGGAGCUGCAUUUCCUGCAAUUGGACUGUCAGCAGCCAUCAGUCUUUGAAAUUAAUGAUGCCACUGAUUGCACGGCUGGUAAUUACAGUGUGGGCAAAGGACUGCUGUGUCAGAGGAUAAAGACUGGUCUAUUUUAAGCUCAUGUAAACACAAACUCUAUCUCUCUCUUUAACACACACACACACACGAACACAUGCACACACACACACACACACUUAAGUGAUCUAAUAGCAAUCAUAGCAGCAGGUAUGUCUCAGCUUGUAUAAAGUCGGUUAAAUAGAUGGGUGCAGUCGGUAUACAGACUAUAUUAAUUGUC